rfam:Schistosoma rodhaini strain Burundi genome assembly, scaffold: SROB_scaffold0005171
AUCCACUCGGUCCCAAAUCGGACGAAACGCGCGUCGUGGAU